rnacentral:rRNA from 1 species
CAGCAGCCGCGGGAAUACGUAGGUGGCAAGCGUUGUCCGGAAUUAUUGGGCGUAAAGCGCGCGCAGACGGUUACUUAAGCCAGAUGUGAAAUCCCCAAGCUUAACUUGGGACGUGCAUUUGGAACUGGGUGACUAGAGUGUGUCAGAGGGAGGUAGAAUUCCACGUGUAGCGGUGGAAUGCGUAGAGAUGUGGAGGAAUACCGAUGGCGAAGGCAGCCUCCUGGGAUAACACUGACGUUGAGGCUCGAAAGCGUGGGGAGCAAACAGGAUUAGAUACCCCGGUAGUCCCUGUCUCUUAUAC